UUCCGCUCGGGAAGUUUGUAACGAAGUCUGGGCUACCGGCGCCGCGUAGUGGAUGCAGCAUCCUAGUUGAGGACGCCCCUCUGAUCUGCCCUCCUUGGCACUGUGCUUCCCCAGAGGGGUGGCCUCGCUGUUCCCAUGGACGUGGCCCAGGUGAGCCCCGCUGCUGCUGAGCACAGCCUCCCUUCUGCCCUGCCGGCUGCCUGAGACCCCAGCACACAUGCGGGGAGGGUCUGUGGCAGCAGCUUUCCAGGCACUGUGCCCGUGUCUGCCAUUUUGCCUUCUCUCUUAAGGGGUGGGGAAAGAGAAAAGAAAAUUGGGGCCGGGCACAAUGCCUCAUGCCUGUAACCCUAGCACUUUGGGAGGCUGAGGCAGGUGGAUCACAAGGUCAGGAGAUCGAGACCAUCCUGGCUAACACGGUGAAACCCCAUCUCUUCUAAAAAUACAAAA
rnacentral:sRNA from 1 species